rnacentral:piRNA from 1 species
UAAUGGGAAUAGUAGGAAAAGCAGCCGCUC